rnacentral:rRNA from 2 species
AAGCGGCAACAGCUCAAAUUUGAAAUCUGGCUCCCUCGCGGGGUCCGAGUUGUAAUUUGCAGAGGAUGCUUCGGCGUCGGCCUCGGGCCAAGUCCCCUGGAACGGGGCGCCUAAGAGGGUGAGAGCCCCGUACCCUCCCGGGCCGCCUUCGCCGCGUGAAGCUCCUUCGACGAGUCGAGUUGUUUGGGAAUGCAGCUCUAAGUGGGAGGUAAAUUCCUUCUAAAGCUAAAUACUGGCCAGAGACCGAUAGCGCACAAGUAGAGUGAUCGAAAGAUGAAAAGCACUUUGGAAAGAGAGUCAAACAGCACGUGAAAUUGUUGAAAGGGAAGCUCUUGCUGCCAGACCUGCCGCGGUCGCGCAGCCGUCCCCCGGGGCGGUGUACCCGUCCGCCGGCAGGCCAGCGCCGGUUCGGGCGGCCGGAUAAAGGCCCCGGGAAAGUAGCUCCCCUAGGGGAGUGUUAUAGCCCGGGGUGCAAUGCGGUCAGCCCGGUCCGAGGCACGCGCUCACGCGAGGGCGCUGGCGUAAUGGCCGCAAGCGACCCGUCUUGAAACACGGACCAAGGAGUCUAACAUCUGUGCGAGUGUUCGGACGUGAAAUCCGCGCGCGUAAUGAAAGUGAACGGAGGUGGGAACCCCCUAGAGGGGCGCACCAUCGACCGAUCCUGAUGUCCUCGGAUGGAUUUGAGUAAGAGCACAGCUGUCAGGACCCGAAAGAUGGUGAACUAUACCUGGAUAGGGUGAAGCCAGAGGAAACUCUGGUGGAGGCUCGCAGCGGUUCUGACGUGCAAAUCGAUCGUCAAAUCUUGGUAUAGGGGCGAAAGACUAAUCGAACC